rnacentral:rRNA from 1 species
CCUACGGGAGGCAGCAGUGGGGAAUUUUGGACAAUGGGCGCAAGCCUGAUCCAGCCAUGCCGCGUGCGGGAAGAAGGUCCUUCGGGUUGUAAACCGCUUUUGUCAGGGAAGAAAUCCUUUGAGCUAAUACCUCGGGGGGAUGACGGUACCUGAAGAAUAAGCACCGGCUAACUACGUGCCAGCAGCCGCGGUAAUACGUAGGGUGCAAGCGUUAAUCGGAAUUACUGGGCGUAAAGCGUGCGCAGGCGGUUAUGCAAGACAGAUGUGAAAUCCCCGGGCUCAACCUGGGAACUGCAUUUGUGACUGCAUAGCUGGAGUGCGGCAGAGGGGGAUGGAAUUCCGCGUGUAGCAGUGAAAUGCGUAGAUAUGCGGAGGAACACCGAUGGCGAAGGCAAUCCCCUGGGCCUGCACUGACGCUCAUGCACGAAAGCGUGGGGAGCAAACAGGAUUAGAUACCCUGGUAGUCCACGCCCUAAACGAUGUCAACUGGUUGUUGGGAGGGUUUCUUCUCAGUACGUAGCUAACGCGUGAAGUUGACCGCCUGGGGAGUCGGCGCAAGUUGAACGUCAAUGAAUUGACCGGNGNGAGAGNGCGAGGCGACGACGAGGGAGGNGG